CUUGUCUGUGAUGAUUUUUGUCCGUAACGUUUCGAGUUUAAUUGACCAUGAGACGACUUUACAUGCACUACCAUCUGAGACAUG